rnacentral:rRNA from 1 species
GAUAUGGCUCAGAUUGAACGCUGGCGGCAUGCUUUACACAUGCAAGUCGAACGGCAGCAUAGAGAGCUUGCUCCCUGAUGGCGAGUGGCGAACGGGUGAGUAAUACAUCGGAACGUGUCCUGUUGUGGGGGGUAACUACUCGAAAGAGUAGCUAAUACCGCAUAAGACCUAAGGGUGAAAGCGGGGGACCUUCGGGCCUCGCGCAGUUGGAGCGGCCGAUGACUGAUUAG